rnacentral:rRNA from 1 species
GGCUGAAAUUCGCCUUCCAUGAAGCCGGAAUUGCUAGUAAUGGCAGGUCAGCAUACUGCCGUGAAUACGUUCCCGGGCCUUGUACACACCGCCCGUCACACCAUGAGAGUUGGGGAUACCCGAAGCCUGUGAGCCAACAGUUUACUGAGGCAGCAGUCGAAGGUAGAAUCAAUGAUUGGGGUGAAGUCGUAACAAGGUACC